rnacentral:lncRNA from 1 species
UUUGACUCAGUCCCUUUAUUAAUCUGGGGUCGCCACAGCGGAAUGAACCGCCAACUUAUCCAGCAUAUUUUUUACACAGCGGAUUCAUGCAGCAUACAUUGACUUUGCCAGUGUGGACUUUUUUUCUGCAACUAGUGGGUAGCACAUUCGCCUCAUAGCAACAAGGUCACUUGAUCGAUCCUUGGCUGGGUCAAUAGGCCUUUCUGUGUGGAGUUUGCAUGUUCUCCCCGUGUUCGCGUGGGUUUCCUCCAGGUGCCCCGGUUUCCAAAGACAUGUGGUAAAGGAGCGAACCUUUUCUCGUUUUUAGGUCAAUUUGAAUACAAUUCAGAGGG